rnacentral:tRNA from 2 species
GCACUCAUAGCUCAAUUGGAUAGAGCAUCAGUCUUCGGAACUGAGGGUUGGGGGUUCGAGUCCCUCUGGGUGCA